rnacentral:rRNA from 1 species
AACGAACGCUGGCGGCAGGCUUAACACAUGCAAGUUGAACGGGAACAUACGGUAGCUUGCUAUAGUAUGUGAGAGUGGCGCACGGGUGGGUAAUACAUGGGAACAUACCUUGAAGUGGGGGAUAACUUCUGGAAACGGAUGCUAAUACCGCAUAACGUAUUUUUACCGCAUGAUAGAAAUACCAAAACUGAGGUGCCGAAGGAUGGGCUCGCGUUGGAUUAGAUAGUUGGUGGGGUAACGGCUCACCAAGGCGACGAUCAGUAGCCGACCUGAGAGGGUGACCGGCCACAUUGGGACUGAGACACGGCCCAA